UGGCUCCCGCAUCGCUGAAGAACGCAGCGAAAUGCGAUAAGUAAUGUGAAUUGCAGAAUUCAGUGAAUCAUCGAAUCUUUGAACGCACAUUGCGUCCUUUGGUAUUCCGAGGGACAUGCCUGUUUGAGCGUUGUUUCAACCUAAGCUAAAGCUUGCUUUGAAUUGAGUCAGUGAGACUAAUUCAGAAAAUAUUGGCGACGAAGCAUUCCUUCGAGCAGCGACAAAGCUGGUUUUGACUGAGUGUUAGUUUGCCUUGACCCAUAUUCUUGAGAUCAACCUCAGACAGACAGGAUUACCCGCUGA
rnacentral:misc_RNA from 1 species